CUCAGGGUGGGGGGGUGUUCCCUCAGCCUGGAUUGUGAGAGGGUGCAGGCCAGGCCGAGGGACCCCACCACUGCACA
rnacentral:pre_miRNA from 1 species